rnacentral:rRNA from 1 species
AUUUAAAAUGUAAUUAAAAAUAUUAAAGUAGUAUUAGUGAUGUUCUUGAAACUUAAAAAAUUUGGCGGUAUUUUAGUCUAUUCAGAGGAACCUGUUCUAUAAUCGAUAAUCCACGAUGGACCUUACUUAAAUUUGUAAAUCAGUUUAUAUACCGUCGUUAUUAGAAUAUUUUAUAAGAAUAAUAAUUUUCAUAAAAUUUUAUUGAAAUAUAUAUCAGAUCAAGGUGUAGCUUAUAUUUAAGUAGAAAUGGGUUACAAUAAAUUUAUUUAUACGGAUUUAAAUAUGAAAAAUUUAUUAAAGGUGGAUUUGAUAGUAAAAUUAUAAAGAUAAAUAAUUUGAUUUUAGCUCUAAAAUAUGU